rnacentral:rRNA from 1 species
GAUGAACGCUGGCGGCGUGCCUAAUACAUGCAAGUCGAGCGAAUAGACGAGGAGCUUGCUCCUCUGACGUUAGCGGCGGACGGGUGAGUAACACGUGGAUAACCUACCUAUAAGACUGGGAUAACUUCGGGAAACCGGAGCUAAUACCGGAUAAUAUAUUGAACCGCAUGGUUCAAUAGUGAAAGACGGUUUUGCUGUCACUUAUAGAUGGAUCCGCGCCGCAUUAGCUAGUUGGUAAGGUAACGGCUUACCAAGGCAACGAUGCGUAGCCGACCUGAGAGGGUGAUCGGCCACACUGGAACUGAGACACGGUCCAGACUCCUACGGGAGGCAGCUGUAGGGAAUCUUCCGCAAUGGGCGAAAGCCUGACGGAGCAACGCCGCGUGAGUGAUGAAGGUCUUCGGAUCGUAAAACUCUGUUAUUAGGGAAGAACAAAUGUGUAAGUAACUAUGCACGUCUUGACGGUACCUAAUCAGAAAGCCACGGCUAACUACGUG